UGGGGAAUAUUGGACAAUGGGCGCAAGCCUGAUCCAGCCAUGCCGCGUGAGUGAUGAAGGCCCUAGGGUUGUAAAGCUCUUUUGUGCGGGAAGAUAAUGACGGUACCGCAAGAAUAAGCCCCGGCUAACUUCGUGCCAGCAGCCGCGGUAAUACGAAGGGGGCUAGCGUUGCUCGGAAUCACUGGGCGUAAAGGGUGCGUAGGCGGGUCUUUAAGUCAGGGGUGAAAUCCUGGAGCUCAACUCCAGAACUGCCUUUGAUACUGAAGAUCUUGAGUUCGGGAGAGGUGAGUGGAACUGCGAGUGUAGAGGUGAAAUUCGUAGAUAUUCGCAAGAACACCAGUGGCGAAGGCGGCUCACUGGCCCGAUACUGACGCUGAGGCACGAAAGCGUGGGGAGCAAACAGGAUUAGAUACCCCUGUAGUCCCUGAGCGGGCUGGCAAGGCGCAU
rnacentral:rRNA from 1 species